CCUGGUUGAUCCUGCCAGUAGUCAUAUGCUUGUCUCAAAGAUUAAGCCAUGCAUGUCUCAGUACAGGCCUUUCUAAGGCGAAACCGCGAAUGGCUCAUUAAAUCAGUCAUGAUUCAUUAGAUUAAGCCAAAAAUUUACUUGGAUAACUGUGGUAAUUCUAGAGCUAAUACAUGCAACUGAGCUCCGACCCGGCCGUUAGGCUGGGGAAGAGCGCUUUUAUUAGAUCAAAAACCAAUCGGACUUCGGUCCGUAUCAAAUGAGUUGUGGUGACUCUGAAUAACUUUAGCCGAGCGCAACGGGCUUAGUCCCGGCGCCGUAUCUUUCAAGUGUCUGCCUUAUCAGCUUUCGAUUGUAGGUUAUACGCCUACAAUGGCUGUAACGGGUAACGGGGAAUCAGGGUUCGAUUCCGGAGAGGGAGCCUGAGAAACGGCUACCACAUCUAAGGAAGGCAGCAGGCACGCAAAUUACCCACUCCCAGCACGGGGAGGUAGUGACGAAAAAUAACGAUGCGGGACUCUUCCGAGGCCUCGCAAUCGGAAUGAGUUCACUUUAAAUCCUUGGACGAGGAUCCACUAGAGGGCAAGUCUGGUGCCAGCAGCCGCGGUAAUUCCAGCUCUAGUAGCGUAUAUUAAAAUUGCUGCGGUUAAAAAGCUCGUAGUUGGAUCUCUGAUUUGGACCGGCGGCCCACUCAAGGAUAGCCCUCGCUGACAAUGGGAGGCGCUUUACGUUCGCUUCGGCGCCCCGGACGGGCGUGGCUGCCCUCAUCGAGGUAGUAGUCGCGUUCCGCACGAGGAUCAAACGCAGUUGCGACGUGGGCUCUCUUACAGGCGGGUAAGCGAUCCCGGUGGUUCACUGUCCGGCUCCGGAUUGAAAAUGCCGUCGGCUCGCACGGGGUGCUCUUCACCGAGUGUCCCGCGUGGCCGACAAGUUCACUUUGAAAAAAUUAGAGUGCUCAAAGCAGGCAAUAACUCACGCCUGAAUGGUGUUGCAUGGAAUGAUAGAACAGGACCUCGGUUCUGUCCUUUUUAUUGGUUUUCUGAACCCGAGGUAAUGAUUAACGGGAACAGACGGGGGCAUUAGUAUUGCGACGCUAGAGGUGAAAUUCUUGGACCGUCGCAAGACUAACUACUGCGAAAGCAUUUGCC
rnacentral:rRNA from 1 species